rnacentral:lncRNA from 1 species
ACACUCAGGUUUCACUUCUGAGCCCCAGCUGUGGUAUCUACUGGCCUGGACUUGAGCUAGUCACUUUAUUUUCUGAGCUUCAGUUUGCUCACUGGACGAGUAGGAAAGUCAUUCCUGUCUGGCUUAACUAGAGGGCCUGUGGUGAGGCAUAAACUGGAGAAGAAAAUCAAACCAUCUGGUGAACUGUCAAGCUCAAUUUCCCUCUUUAAGGAAGAAAGGAAAGUGUUUUCCUGGAUACUAGAUAUGCUGAGUUGGGACAGGAGCUAAGGAUAGAGGUGAGGAAACCCGCAGACAACAGCGACAUGCUCCUCAUCUUUGAGUCCCAGCGAACCUUUCCACUGUGUGUGUGUGAUCUCACUCUGUUCCCCAGGCUGGAAUGCAGUUAACUGAU